UAAAGGAACAGAAUGGAAGAAAAAAGUUGCUUUUGUACAAUUUUUGCUUGAUCACUGCUUCAAGAUUUUUGGAGAUGACUUCACCCCCACCAUCAGAGAUAACGUAACACAUAUGGACCACAAUCUAGAAGCUUCAGAAGCAUGCAGUCAUCCAGAAAACGUGGGAAUGGGAUUCCAUGAGUUGAACACUACAUCUAACCAUCUCACUUCUUCCUCACAUUCUCAUCUGAAGCCUGCUCGAAAGAAACAUUCCAUUAAAAAGUGGUUAGCUCAGCGUGUCUUUGGCAACAAGCACAACAAGGUGGCACCAACACCUACUUUGCCCACUUCUAAACAAGCACCGCUGUUUGGGUCACCCCUGCGUG